GGGGAAUAUUGCACAAUGGGCGAAAGCCUGAUGCAGCGACGCCGCGUGAGGGAUGACGGCCUUCGGGUUGUAAACCUCUUUCAGCAGGGAAGAAGCGAAAGUGACGGUACCUGCAGAAGAAGCGCCGGCUAACUACGUGCCAGCAGCCGCGGUAAUACGUAGGGCGCAAGCGUUAAUCGGAAUUACUGGGCGUAAAGCGCACGCAGGCGGUCUGUCAAGUCGGAUGUGAAAUCCCCGGGCUCAACCUGGGAACUGCAUUCGAAACUGGCAGGCUAGAGUCUUGUAGAGGGGGGUAGAAUUCCAGGUGUAGCGGUGAAAUGCGUAGAGAUCUGGAGGAAUACCGGUGGCGAAGGCGGCCCCCUGGACAAAGACUGACGCUCAGGUGCGAAAGCGUGGGGAGCAAACA
rnacentral:rRNA from 1 species